GGGUGAGUAACACGUAGGGAACCUGCCCGCGCACCGGGAAUACGCUCUGGAAACGGAGAACAAAUCCCGAUGUACAGGAAGGAGGCAUCUUCUUUCUGUGAAACAUCCUUUAGGGGAUGGGGCGCGGAUGGACCUGCGGUGCAUUAGUUGGUUGGCGGGGUAAAGGCCCACCAAGACGAUGAUGCAUAGCCGGCCUGAGAGGGCGGACGGCCACAUUGGGACUGAGACACGGCCCAGACUCCUGCGGGAGGCAGCAGUAGGGAAUUUUCGUCAAUGGGCGCAAGCCUGAACGAGCGAUGCCGCGUGAGUGAAGAAGGCCUUCGGGUCGUAAAGCUCUGUUGCGGGGGAAAAAAGGCAGCAUCAGGAAAUGGGUGCUGACUGAUGGUGCCCCGCCAGAAAGUCACGGCUAACUACGUGCCAGCAGCCGCGGUAAUACGUAGGUGGCGAGCGUUAUCCGGAAUGAUUGGGCGUAAAGGGUGCGCAGGCGGUCCUGCAAGUCUGGAGUGAAACGCAUGAGCUCAACUCAUGCAUGGCUUUGGAAACUGGAGGACUGGAGAGCAGGAGAGGGCGGUGGAACUCCAUGUGUAGCGGUAAAAUGCGUAGAUAUAUGGAAGAACACCAGUGGCGAAGGCGGCCGCCUGGCCUGUUGCUGACGCUGAGGCACGAAAGCGUGGGGAGCAAAUAGGAUUAGAUACCCUAGUAGUCCACGCCGUAAACGAUG
rnacentral:rRNA from 1 species